UACGGGGGGAGCAAGCGUUGUUCGGAUUUACUGGGCGUAAAGGGCGCGUAGGCGGCCACCGCAAGUCAGUUGUGAAAUCUCUGGGCUUAACCCAGAACGGUCAGCUGAUACUGCGGGGCUAGAGUGCAGAAGGGGCAACUGGAAUUCUCGGUGUAGCGGUGAAAUGCGUAGAUAUUGGGAGGAACACCAGUGGCGAAGGCGGCUCACUGGACCGGUUCUGACGCUGAGGCGCGAAAGCGUGGGGAGCAAACGGG
rnacentral:rRNA from 1 species